GCCUAGCCGUAAACAAUUAAUUUACACCCAUCAGCGCCAGGGAAUUACGAGCAAUGCUUAAAACCCAAAGGAUUUGACGGUGUCCCACCCCACUAGAGGAGCCUGUUCUAUAAUCGAUGAUCCCCGCUUCACCCGACCACUCCUUGCUAUCAGUCUGUAUACCUCCGUCGAAAGCUUACCAUGUGAACGCUUAAAGUAGGCUUAAUGACCUUACCGUCAACACGUCAGGUCAAGGUGCAGCUUAAGGAGUGGGAAGUAAUGGGCUACAAUUUCUAAUCUAGAACAAACGAAAGACUAUAUGAAAUACUAGUCAUGAAGGUGGAUUUAGUAGUAAAAAGAAAGUAGAGUGUUCUUUUUAACUCGGCUCUGGGACGC
rnacentral:rRNA from 1 species